rnacentral:tRNA from 1 species
GGGGCAUUAGCUCAGCUGGGAGAGUGUCACACUGGCAGUGUGUCACACUGGCAGUGUGAAGGUCAGCGGUUCGAACCCGCUAUGCUCCA